rnacentral:rRNA from 1 species
GAGGAAUAUUGGGCAAUGCCCGAAAGGGUGACCCAGCAACGCCGCGUGGAGGAUGAAGGCCGUAAGGUUGUAAACUCCUGUUAGAGGGGAAGAAAAACUCCGAUAGAAUCGGAGACUGACUGUACCCUCAGAGGAAGCCCCGGCUAACUACGUGCCAGCAGCCGCGGUAAUACGUAGGGGGCAAGCGUUGUCCGGAUUCACUGGGUGUAAAGGGCGCGUAGGCGGGCUAGCAAGUCAGAGGUGAAAUCUCCCGGCUUAACCGGGAAACUGCCUUUGAAACUGUUAGUCUUGAGUGCGGAAGAGAGAGACGGAAUUCCAGGUGUAGCGGUGAAAUGCGUAGAUAUCUGGAGGAACACCAGUCGCGAAGGCGGUCUCUUGGUCCGUAACUGACGCUCAGGCGCGAAAGCGUGGGUAGCAAAC